AACAACAAGUUGAUUGCUUAAAGAAAGAUUAUCAGCGCAAGUUAGGGUUUCUUCUUUUCCCUUUUCCCUAGCACUGACAAAAGUAUUAUGCCAUCUAGAAACCAUCUCAAUCUAUUUGCUUCCUUUUUUUAUUUUCAACAAGAAAAGUGAGUUCCAAAUAGAUAUGUCCAUUUCUCUCCAUACAUAACAUACUUCGUAAUGCAUUUUUAUGAGUAAAGUACAUCAUAUCUCAUCCUUUUGGCAACAAAAACAUGUCUCUUACCUUGGGCAAAUUCUUACCUAGACUUGGGUCCACAUGGACCCGAUUAAUGUCUUUUACAGGAUAAAUUCUUACCUAAACCUGGAUUCACUUGGACUAGGUCCAACAUUGCCAUUAUUCGUACAGUUUGAGGUCUGUGAUUUGGUUCCACAGAAGUCCUUUCAUAUAGAAAUACUCUUAUUUGGCAUUUAUAGUAAGCCCCUUGAUGAAUGAAAAUUACUCUAAUGAUAACUCUUUCCUGCAAAGUUUUGCAAUACAAAGUUUGAACAAAUAGUCCUGCUUAGUCUUGCUCAAUUCCAAAACAAAUUAUUAUCUCCUUCCAAAGAUGUGAAGCCAAAGAUUAUCUUUUUAACGAGUAAUGAUUUCUGAAUGUACACAUAAACUUUGUUCGAAGAAAUAUGAUUGCUUUGACAUGCUAGCCCGAAAGAGCUUUUAUAGCUCGGAGCAUUUUACCUCUUUUUGUCAGGAAGGAGCAUCCCUUCCUCUUCACCAAGAACUGCUGCCAUAGCCCUGAUCGUUUUCUUCAACCGGAAAUGCUUUUGUAGCCUGUAGCGUUUCACCUCCUUUUAGCAGGCAGGAAGUGCUCCUCAUAGACCUGAGUAUCCCAUCCUCUCCAGCAAGAAGUGCUGCAAUAGCCAUCAGCGUAUCUUUGUCUGGAAGUGCUUUUGUAGCCUGGAGCUUUUCGCCUCUUUGCCAGGAAGUGCUGCUUGUAGCCCUGAGCAUUCCAAGCUCUCUGCCAGGAAGUGCUGUUAUAGCCUCGAGCACCCUUUUUUUUAUUAUGAUGUUUCCUGCACAAAAGUGUUUUUUAUAUCCCAGAGUACUUCGCUUCUUUUUGCCAGGAAGUGUUGUCCGUAGCCCUCAGCGUCCCAUCCUUU
rnacentral:lncRNA from 1 species